GGGCUGCGCGGUGGGUGUCGCACAUGGCGGACCAUGCACCCCCAGGAGCCAGACUUGUCCGGGGCGCACCGGGGCUGGCUCAUGGCUCACCGGCUCAAAGACGCCUGCCUGAUCCCUGGACACCGGCGCCCUGCACCCUGGCGCUCCCACCCGACACGCGCCUGGACAGUGAGCUGCACACAAACGGCCAGCACAUUCUGCCGGUGGCGCCCGCUCAACGGAGGGCAUGAGGACACGGCGCUGGCUGGCUCACUGCAGGACCUGGGGUAUCCAAACGUGCCUAGGCACACAAUAAACAGUUGCAGGCCAGAAAAACCUCCUUUCCAUCACAAACAGCUUGGGAGCUGAGGCGCUACAAAGGGAACAAGACUCAGGCCUCCAGCCCAAGGGCCUUCCUCCACAGAGGAGCUGUGACGGAGCAGAGCCACAGCACGAGCUGGCCCAGGGCCACCACGCAGCUGCUGUCCACACCGGCCCUGCCCGUGGGCCGCUUCUGAGUGGUCCCUUCCACCUGCCCUCCUCCGGCCACGCUGAGAGAACCUCCCAGCCUCUGCUGCGGGGACUCAAUCCCUUCAGUGAAUGACUUUUCUGCGGACUUCAUGACUGCCCAGGUGCGGUGGCUCACCCCUGCAGUCCCACUGCUUUGGGAGGCCAAGGCAGGAGGACUGCUCGAGGCCAGGAGUUUGAGACCAGUCUGAGCAACAUAGUGAGACUCCGUGUCUAGAAAGAAUUUCAAGAAUUAGCCAGGCAUGGUGGUGCACCUCUAGUCUCAGCUACUCGGGAGGCUGAGAAGGGAGGAUCGCUUGAACCCGGGAAGCUGAGGGUACAGUCAGCCACAAUGGCCCCACGGUACUCUAGCCUAGGCAAUAGAGCCAGACCCUGUCUCAAAUAAUAAACAAAAAACAAACACUUCAUGGCUGCAUUUGCAUCCUGCCAGGACCCUCAGUGAUCCUGCCAAGAACACCAAGGACAUCCGCAAACACGCACCCCGCCCCUGCCGGCCUAGAGGAAAGACAACCAAACCAAGGGCCAAAAACAAACGAAGCCAUUCAACCCUGCAAAGAAUCAAAGAAAUGCAAAUUAAAACACGACAGCCUAUCACACUGGCAAAGGGAAAAAAGAAUAAAAAUACAUAGCGCUGGCAGGGAUCUGAGGGGACAGACGCAGCGCUAAGGGUGGGGCUGUCAAAUGGCGUCGCUUCUGGGGGCAACUUUCCAAUGAGCAUCAGAAGUCACAAAGAUGUUUGCCUCCCAGACCCUGCAGCUCCCUCUCCAUGCUCUGUCCUUCAGGGUCCGGCGUGGCACAGCGACGAGGGCCGCGUCUGCUGGCGGGAUGGGACGCCACUUGCUCCACCUACAUAUUCGGCGUUUCUGUUCUUUACUAUCAUCGAGUGUUGCUUUUGUGACUUGUACUUUUUCAAAUGCCAUUAUUAAAAAGUCUAGGUUUUUGUCCUCUGGAGAGAUGUAUAUAAUGCAUAAUUAAAUGACUGAGGUCGUCGUGCAGCACGCGGAGCCGUAUGUGCUUUUAAACAGCCACAGCGUGCACGGAGCAAGUCCGUGAGGCCAACACCCACCCUAUCUCUCGGAUGAGCGCUACAUAGUGACCUGCCGUGCUGUCGGGACCCUCGCUGCUGCUGCUGCUGUUCUAAGCUUCCUGCAAGCGAGCUACGGGCUCGGAUCUCCUGGAAUCCCUCCCUGCCCUCUCCAACCUCAGCUCCUCCUAGCUCCCCAAGGGUCUUCCCCCUCU
rnacentral:lncRNA from 1 species